GACGAACGCUGGCGGCGUGCUUAACACAUGCAAGUCGAACGGUGAAGCGCCUUCCUUUUUGGUGGGUGUGGAUGAGUGGCGAACGGGUGAGUAACACGUGAGUAACCUGCCCCCUUCUUCUGGAUAACCGCAUGAAAGUGUGGCUAAUACGGGAUAUUCUGGGUCUGUCGCAUGAUGGGUCUGGGAAAGAUAUUGUUUCGGUGGGGGAUGGGCUCGCGGCCUAUCAGCUUGUUGGUGGGGUGAUGGCCUACCAAGGCGGUGACGGGUAGCCGGCCUGAGAGGGUGGACGGUCACACUGGGACUGAGACACGGCCCAGACUCCUACGGGAGGCAGCAGUGGGGAAUAUUGCACAAUGGGCGCAAGCCUGAUGCAGCGACGCCGCGUGAGGGAUGGAGGCCGUCGGGUGGGGAACCUCUUUCGCCAGUGAAGCAGGCCUGCCUCGUUUGUGGGUGGGUUGACGGUAGCUGGAUAAGAAGCGCCGGCUAACUACGU
rnacentral:rRNA from 1 species